rnacentral:sRNA from 1 species
AAAAACAUAUACAACU